rnacentral:rRNA from 1 species
AUUGAACGCUGGCGGUAGGCCUAACACAUGCAAGUCGAACGCGAAAGUCCUUCGGGAUGAGUAGAGUGGCGGACGGGUGAGUAACGCGUAGGAAUCUGUCCUGUAGUGGGGGAUAACGUUUCAAAAGGAACGCUAUUACCGCAUACGCCCUACGGGGGAAAGCGGGGGAUCUUCGGACCUCGUGCUAUAGGAGGAGCCUGCGUCGGAUUAGCUAGUUGGUGAGGUAAAGGCUCACCAAGGGGACGAUCCGUAGCUGGUCUGAGAGGAUGAUCAGCCACACCGGAACUGAGACACGGUCCGGACUCCUACGGGAGGCAGCAGUGGGGAAUAUUGCGCAAUGGGCGAAAGCCUGACGCAGCCAUACCGCGUGUGUGAAGAAGGCCUUCGGGUUGUAAAGCACUUUCAGUGGGGAGGAAAAGCUGGUGGCUAAUAUCCAUCGGCCGUGACGCUACCCACAGAAGAAGCACCGGCUAAUUCCGUGCCAGCCGCCGCGGUAA